GACGAACGCUGGCGGCGUGCCUAACACAUGCAAGUCGAGCGGACCGACCCCGUCUCUUCGGAGACGGGACAGGUUAGCGGCGAACGGGUGAGUAACACGUGGGUAAUCUGCCCCGAAGACCGGGAUAACUCCGGGAAACCGGUGCUAAUACCGGAUACCUUGGUCUCACCGCAUGACGAGAUCAAGAAAGGGUUGCUUUGCUUCCGCUUCGGGAUGAGCCCGCGGCCCAUUAGCUUGUUGGUGGGGUAACGGCCCACCAAGGCUACGAUGGGUAGGCGGCCUGAGAGGGGGGACGGCCACACUGGGAAUGAGAUACGGCCCAGACGCCUACGGGAGGCAGCAGUGAGGAAUAUUGCGCAAUGGGCGAAAGCCUGACGCAGCGACGCCGCGUGGACGACGAAGGCCUUCGGGUUGUAAAGUCCUGUCAGGAGGGACGAAGCGGACUUGUCCGUGACGGUACCUCGGUAGGAAGCUCCGGCUAACUACGUGCCAGCAGCCGCCGUAAUAC
rnacentral:rRNA from 1 species